AUGCGCGCAUCGGCCGCCAACGUGUCGUUGGAUUGUUGUGAUCGUGAAGGCACGCCAGCGGGUAAUGAAACCACACAAGACCUCAUGCCAAGAGCAUGCCCCAACCGAAAAAAUGAAACAAAUGCAGGAGCUACAAGCAAAACGGAGUACAACAAUUCAGCCGAUUGGAGGAGAAGCCGAGAGGAGAAGGCGGCGGCGGAAGCGGAAGAGUCGACGGCAUUCGCGGCCGUCGGUGGGGCUCGCCGGACCGGAGCAUCUUCGCCGGAGUGCCCGCAGAUUGAAGGUAAUGCUCCUUCCCACGCUCACAUUCGUUGCCUGCAUUCCCCCUCCCCUCUGUGGUCAAUUUUCCGCUCAAGAUUCAUCGAGAUUCCGGCGGAUUCGCGGUGCUCCGGCGUUCCCGUCGGCGGCGGAGUCCCGUGCUUGCCGUUUAGGGUGGCAUUGCGCAGUUUUUUCGCCGCCGCGGUGGCAGUCAUGCCGGUGUGGCUUGGCCUGUCCGUAGCUACAUCCGGGUUUUGCCUUGCGAUUGAGCCGGCAUUUUUUCUAGUUGUUAGUUAUGUAUUGCCUCGAAAUGCUAUUGCCAUCAGUGCAGGAAGUUUUUUGUUGUUGAAUUUCAGGUAUAAAGGCAGCCAUGGCAGUUUCAGCAACUAUCUGCACUGGAUGGCAACUAAUUUCCUGAUCAACCGUGUCAGUUGCCACAAAUAUGCUUUCCAUGUGGCAACUAAUUUUGCGAACACACUAUGGCUGUUGGCAUGCUGUAGCACAAUGGCUCGCGGCGACCAUCAAGACGAUGAUGAUGACUUCAUGGAGUUACCGCAACAGAAUCGCGCAACUGGACGGACGAAAGAUGGCGAUGAGAAGAAGAAACGUUAUCACUAUAGGGCCGCACAAGAACGCCUGACUAUAUUGACCGAGAGAUUUACUGACGAGCAGAAGGGAGCUGCUGGUGAGAUGGGGAUGCGGGCUCUGAUAGAUGUUCGGUGCAAGAACCUAGUGAACCCUGAAUCCGUGUUCUGCACUUUGGGUGUGCCCCGUGGAGAAAUCAAAGUCCCGUAUGAGGUCAAUAAUAAGAUUGAGGAAAAGUUGUUUGCCCGUUUUUUCCCUGGGACGGCAUCCAUGCCGAACACGACUGUGCUGGCAAAUUCGCUGGAGAGUAUGAAAACCCAUGGCGAGGUUUUUAAGAUGAAGCUGCUCAUGUACUUGACCUCAGCUGUCUUUGCGCCUACCACAUCUCUUCGCCCAAGCAACAAGUGCUUCCCCAUCCUGGCGAAGCUAAAAGACGUGAAGAACAUGAAUUGGUGUAAAUUCACCGCGGACUUCCUGCAUGAUGCAUUCUCAAACAAGAUGUACCAAAAGGGUUGUCGACUCCAUUUAAUGCUCAUGUACGCCGAUCGGCUUAAUCUGUCCACCGUUGACUUUACUGGGAUAGGAGGCCCGCCACCUCCACAUAAGUUUGCUGUUUCUGCAUGGACGUAUGAUGCUGUCAAGGCUGUGUUUGCCGCAGACAAGAUAACUGAUACGAAAUAUGGGAAACUGCAGAUGAAUACCUUGUUAGCCAUGGCUAUCUGCGCAUGGCACCCAUGUCUGACGCCACAUGGCAACUCCGCCAUCCGUGUUGAAACUUCUAUUCUCCCCCUCUUUUUUGCAAUACAUGAGCUGUUAGCGAGGGCACCUGUUGAGCAUCUAAUUGGGCAUUUUGCUUCCGGAAUGACCAGCUUCCAGAAUGACCAUUUUGCUUCCAGGAAGUUGGUUGAGGGUUGGACGUCCCUUAAUGGCUCUGACAGCGACGCGGUUGCGAGGCAGUUCACUCCAUUUGUUGCAGAACGGACACAUCGGCCAACUAGUUGCCGUGGCCGGUACGACUACAACAGCUCCCAGGAGCUUCCUGACACGCAAGAUGAACUAGAUGGAGAUGCUGGUCUCGACAAGGACGAUGAUGAUGACAUGGAGAACGUGCAACAUGAAACCGACGAUGAUGAACAUGUUGAAGUUCGUGCAGGUGGUAAGAAGGAUAAGGCUGCACCAGAUGUCCCCCCACCGGAGAAAGUCAAAGAACGGACAGUUGCGAGAGACAAGGGGGUGUCACCCUCAAAGAGGGGCAGGGCUCCAGAGGAUGUUGGGCAGGGCUCUGCUGGCAAGAGGUCUAGGACUGAUCCCUUAGCUGCUAGGAGGAGUGAGGCGAGAGCUAGUGGACGAGCAGUUAUGAAGAAACAAGCACCGACGCCAACCCGUGUUUCUGCCCGAUUGAACAAGGGUGCCCCCAUUGCUGGUGACACCCCUUCCACUAGGUCGUCUCCUCGUACGUCGACGUCCAACACCGGGGAUCCUGUCGUGUUGGUAGACUUGAGGAAGAUAGUCAAGAAGGUGAAGAAGACUACCACACGCGUGACCAAACAGAACCCCAGAGACCCACUCGAACGCAUUCACUCAAAGUUGUCGACAGGUGGCAACUCAUAUGUUCAUGAGGCGCCAGUCGAUAAAACUGCUGAUGCACCAUCCACUGUUCCCACUAGCUCUGAUGCAAGCGGCCGACCAUCUCGGCCGGUUGCAGAUGUGCAGGCUACAACAACAGGCAUCCGUACAUCUGGGAGUGAUGAGUCAGUAUCUUCCAGGACUGCCGAGAUAUUGCCCACUCUGCUAGCAAUGAAGGAUGCUGCUGUGACCCAUGCCACCCAAUCAGCAAGUGUCGAAGUGGACUCUCCCGAUAUCAACCUAAGCAAGGAAGAUUCCUGCUCAUCUGAUACGGAUUCCAAGCGCGUGGGUGGUGGAACUUAUGCAUCCACAAAAGAAGGGGGUGCGGCGACAAUUCAGAAUGAUAUGCUAUCCACAGGUGAGACUCUUGGCACAACAGCUCCAGCUUCUGGUGGUCCAGAGGUUGCUAUGGCGACUGUUUCGCGAGCUGGUCUUCCACCUAGGCGACGUAGCCCCCGCAAGCAAUCUGUAGACAUACCCAACACACCAGCUGUAGCUAGGAGCAGUAGAGAUGACUCUGGUUAUGUGCCUGCGUCCACACUGUUCCCACCACCUGCCAAAAGCAAUGUUAUGGAGAAAACGGAAGACCGAAGUACAACUGACCCAGGUGGCAAGCCGGGCACGACUGACGGAGGUGAACAUCCGGAGCAGACUGCGUCUUUACCCGCCGUGGAGAACCCCAGCUUAAAUCUACGCACUUCUAAGCUCCCAGUCAACAUUGGUGACCCCUACAGCCCAAACAAGAAGAUUGGCAAGAAAGCUGCGACUGAUACCGCCGACAACACGCCCCGCCCUACUAAUAAGCCUGAUAAUUUUGCAGAAGACGAGGCAGAAAUGUUUGUUGAUCUGUCACCCCUGGAUUCUGCCAAGCAAGUUGUUCGCGGUCCGGCUAGUAGGAAGGAGAGGCACCCAAUAACUUUCACCCCACCGAGCUUUAGCCUUGGCAUCGAUCGCAGUCAAGAUGAACCAGUUGUGCAAGAUCAUAUGCCAGUUGCCUUUGCUUUCCCGGCAGGCAUGGCCCCAAUGAUGGCGCAGCCAAUGGCUGAGGGCAGGGAGGCUGUGAAGUUUGCAGAGCCGAUUGUGCAAGCCACCCCUGAGGAGAUUACGCCGUCACUUGAUGAAGCCUACCGCAGGAUUGAGGAGGCAUCACUGCAGAGGAGGGUAGUUCACACACCACCCACGGAUGACUAUGAGCCAGAAGUCAAGGCCACAAAGGAUCAGAACCAGCUAUACGAUAUUGUCAAGCGCUUUGGAAAUGCGAGGUCCAACAGCAAGCACAUGAAGGAGCUGAAAGCAACCAAGAUCAUACAAUGCGAUGCGACGUACGUUGACCUGGGUGAUCUUGCCGAGUCUCUGAGGCCACUCGGUAAAAUGUCGAAGAAUGUAGUUGCAUGUGGGAUUGACUUCAUCAACAGACAUAUGGAUAUUUUUUCCGACAAAACGAUCAUGCAGUACAGUGUGACCUGCAAAAUAUGGGAUGGUGACUUCCACCACAAAAUCCCGAGGAAGCAUUUUGCUGUGCAUGGUGAAUUCAAGCUCGCAAUGAAGAAAUGUGUCCUGUUCCCCGUGUUCCAGGAGCUUGCACCACAGGAUCCACAUGACAAGUGUGGCCACCACUACGUGAUUUGCCUUGACCUAAAGAACCAACGAUUUGAGGUGCUUGAUUCAAUGCGUUCAGAAGCUGAUGAAGACGUUACUACGCAUGCUGAAUACUUCAUCAACAACCUCAAAGAGACAUGGAACCAUCACUACGAAAACUCAAAGGUCCAGAUCAGACAUUUUCCAAUCGAGUAUGUUGCGACUACGAAGCAAGGAAACCGGCACGACUAUGGCUUUCACUUGUUGGAAUACCUUGCAAAGUGGGAUGGUCGACGGGUCCCUGUCGUCACAGCUGCAAUGGUCGUCGAGCUCCGCAAAAUAUACACAUGGAACUGGUUGAUGAAUGAAGAUUUCAACACGCGGCCAACACACGAGAGUACAUAG
rnacentral:rRNA from 1 species